rnacentral:rRNA from 1 species
CCUACGGGUGGCAGCAGUGAGGAAUAUUGGUCAAUGGACGAGAGUCUGAACCAGCCAAGUAGCGUGAAGGAUGACUGCCCUAUGGGUUGUAAACUUCUUUUAUAUGGGAAUAAAACGUUCCACGUGUGGGAUUUUGUAUGUACCAUAUGAAUAAGGAUCGGCUAACUCCGUGCCAGCAGCCGCGGUAAUACGGAGGAUACGAGCGUUAUCCGGAUUUAUUGGGUUUAAAGGGAGCGUAGGUGGAUUGUUAAGUCAGUUGUGAAAGUUUGCGGCUCAACCGUAAAAUUGCAGUUGAAACUGGCAGUCUUGAGUACAGUAGAGGUGGGCGGAAUUCGUGGUGUAGCGGUGAAAUGCUUAGAUAUCACGAAGAACUCCGAUUGCGAAGGCAGUUCACUGGACUGCAACUGACACUGAGGCUCGAAAGUGUGGGUAUCAAACAGGAUUAGAUACCCCAGUAGUC